rnacentral:rRNA from 1 species
CAAUAGCGUAUAUUAAAGUUGUUGCGGUUAAAAAGUUCGUAGUUGGAUUUCUGCCAAGGACGACCGGUCCGCCCUCUGGGUGAGUAUCUGGCUUGGCCUGGGCAUCUUCUUGGAGAACGUUGCUGCACUUCGCUGUGUGGCGCGGUAUCCAGGACCUUUACUUUGAGGAAAUUAGAGUGUUUCAAGCAGGCUUUCGCCUUGAAUACAUUAGCAUGGAAUAAUAAGAUAGGACCUCGGUUCUAUUUUGUUGGUUUCUAGAGCUGGGGUAAUGAUUAAUAGGGAUAGUUGGGGGCAUUCGUAUUUAACUGUCAGAGGUGAAAUUCUUGGAUUUGCUAAAGACGGACUACUGCGAAAGCAUUUGCCAAGGAUGUUUUCAUUGA